ensembl:lncRNA
CUCAUUGAAAACAUCUGAAGUUCUUCAAAGAGGUGAUGACUACUCCACUCCACUACCAUUGUCAACUCUCUCCUUACAUGAACUGAAGCCAUGUCUCAUGUACCUGCUCAUCCACUGGCACAUUGAAUUCAAAUCCUGUCCUGCCCUCAGUGGAAGUUGAGCUCUUCCUCAACACCAUCCAUCCAUGAUGAGCCUGUCCUGCACUGAAGCCAAUGAACACCUCAAACCCGGUCCUGCAUUGAAGUCAAGCCUGUGAACACCUCAACUCAUGCCUCAUACCCUCAUUCAAUCACUGCUGUAAUCCCUUCCCAACACUGUUUUCCAUAGAUGGAUAUUUUGGGUAUAUAUGGACCGAUUUAAUCGAAAAAAAGACCCAAUAGUGAUGUUUAUGGGACAUAUAGGAGUGCCAACAAAGAAGCUCGUCCAAGGUUCUGUCCAGAAGCAGUGUCUUCAGUCCCCGAAACAAGUACAGAUUGACAGGAUAAAGUGUCACUGGCCGAUCCUGACAAAGUUUAUACAGCCAUACCGGCAGCAGGCAACAAGCCUGCAGGCGGCAUCCGCACGUGCACACACACAC